CUAUUCACUCACCAACAACACCGGCAAGGCAAGAGUGGAAGGAGAAAAGAAAGAAGGAUCAAGUCGAGUGUUGUUCGGUGUGAGGCCGAGGUAGCUGUUCUAGUUCUGGACAGGAAAGUCAAGUAUGGGCUUAGGGCUUUUGAAUUUGAAAUGGACUUGCAACCGGGGGAGAACAGAACUCUGGGUCCCGAAUUCCCCCGCCGACUGAGAGAUUCGAUUUCCAAAUCCAAGCUGGAACGUAGUCGCUAUAGCGAAGCUAUUGGCUUUCGCUUUGCUAAAUCGGAUCGGAGAUGAUUCGAGCAUCAGUGUUUAUAUAUAUGAUAUAUGAGAAUGAGAUUUCAUAUCAAUAUAUGGGUACACUGAUCUCCGUGUGAUAUUUCUUUUGUCAUUUUCUUUAUACGAUAUUUCUACUCAGCUUGAAAAGAAGCCUCUCUUAAGUUCAAGAGUUUAGAAAGGCUCUUAGCAUGGGAAGGAGCUCAGACUUCCUUAGAAGGAGAUAAGCUAGAACUAUCUUUGUAUGUACGGGUCUCGGUAAUUAUAGAGACUAGAUAAAAUAGGGCAAUGAGUUGGUUGUUAGAAUGAAUGAAUGAGGUCGCCGCUUCGCCCUAUGGAAACUAACCUUAGUGUCCAAAUAUUGUCGCGGGAAAGAAGCUUUUUGAAUCAAUAAAGGAAGCCUAUUGAAUUGGGAAUAGAAGGGGAAGGGGAAUAUGCCAAUGAACUUUAAGCAGGGGACAAAGCUGGGGAUGGCAAGGUUCUUUAUCAACGAUGCGGCAUUACCGCAGUUGUAUGUACUUGCAUUUCUGCUGUUAGCAUGCUUUGAUGGCAUAGAAUCAAUAGUUGACACGCACAAAAUAGAAAGAAGGGCUCUUUUCACGACUCCGGUGCUAUAGAAUCUCUUUCCAGAAGAGGGCUAGUCUAAAGGCCUUGCCUUAUGAAAGAAAGGAAGGAUAAGAGGAGGGGAGC
rnacentral:lncRNA from 1 species